AUGUGGAAGACCGGCAUCCGAUGGCAAGAUGUUGAUGUGGCGCUAAGCAUGGCUGAUUCAUGGAGAUAUGCCACAAUUGCUACCGGAGGCCAUGAUGGAUUUGUGGUGGGAUGGCACAACCAAGAAGAGUUGUAUCAGUACGUAUCAAGCAUUGUUGCUUUGUCGUUCAGUAAGGAUGGGCAUCUGCUUGCUGUUCCAUUUCGAAGAGGGGGUAAAACUGUCAUCCCAUCGAAGAGUCACCAGCAGAGAUGGGACAGAUCCUCUGCCCUAGAAUCCAACACCCUAGGUCUAUCUGAAACCCAUCAACAACAACCUAAGCUGUUGAGAAAGGAGACCAGGAGGAAACAUAGGCAUGGAACCACCCACGGAGGACACACAUUAUGA
rnacentral:rRNA from 1 species